rnacentral:rRNA from 1 species
GAUGAACGCUGGCGGCGUGCUUAACACAUGCAAGUCGAACGGAAAGGCCCAAGCUUGCUUGGGUACUCGAGUGGCGAACGGGUGAGUAACACGUGGGUGAUCUGCCCUGCACUUCGGGAUAAGCCUGGGAAACUGGGUCUAAUACCGGAUAGGACCACAUUUUGGAUGGUGUGGUGGAAAGUUUUUCGAUGUGGGAUGAGCUCGCGGCCUAUCAGCUUGUUGGUGGGGUAAUGGCCUACCAAGGCGUCGACGGGUAGCCGUCCUGAAAGGGAAUACGGCCAAAUUAGGACUGAGAUACGGCCAAGACGCCGACGGGAGGCAGAAGUGGGGAAUAUUGCACAAUGGGCGCAAGCCUGAUGCAGCGACGCCGCGUGGGGGAUGACGGCCUUCGGGUUGUAAACGCCUUUCGCUAAGGACGAGGCGUUAUGUGACGGUACCUGGAGAAGAAGCUCCGGCUAACUACGUG